rnacentral:rRNA from 1 species
UACAGAGGUCUCAAGCGUUGUUCGGAUUCAUUGGGCGUAAAGGGUGCGUAGGCGGCGCCGUAAGUCAGGUGUGAAAUUUCGGAGCUUAACUCCGAAACUGCAUUUGAUACUGCGGUGCUUGAGGACUGGAGAGGAGACUGGAAUUCAUGGUGUAGCAGUGAAAUGCGUAGAGAUCAUGAGGAAGACCAGUGGCGAAGGCGGGUCUCUGGACAGUUCCUGACGCUGAGGCACGAAGGCCAGGGGAGCAAACGGG